UCCAUUGUUGAAGAUUUUAGCAAGCCAACCACCGUUGUUUGUACUAAUACAAUGGCACGUAGGGUGGUUCUUCCAUUUAAAUACUGAUUUCUCAAGGGAACAAUCUUAGUGAUCUUAAUUUCCAACUAUUCAAUCAUGGGAAACGGGAAAAAACAGCCAUCUACGCUAACACCAGACAGCUCAAACACCCCAUUCGAGGUAUAUAUCAAUAACAUUGGAAUUUGUUGGGUUGGAUGAAUCACAACCGUUGCACUAUGGGAUGGAUGGAUAUGGGAUGGAUAUGUGGACUUUAAUGUAUUUUUGUGGACUUUAAGGUAUUCAUUUGGCUUGAAUGUAUUUGUGGGAUUUUUUGUGGAUUUAAUGUAUUUAUGUGGCUUGAAUGUAAUCCAAUGAAUUUUUGUGGAUUUAAUGGUAUCUAGGUGAAAAUUUGUGGAUUUAAUGUAAUCUAACGUUUUUUUUUUUU